AUACGUAGGGGGCGAGCGUUGUCCGGAAUGAUUGGGCGUAAAGGGCGCGUAGGCGGCCCGGUAAGUCUGGAGUGAAAGUCCUGUUUUUAAGAUGGGAAUUGCUUUGGAUACUGUCGGGCUUGAGUGCAGGAGAGGUAAGUGGAAUUCCCAGUGUAGCGGUGAAAUGCGUAGAGAUUGGGAGGAACACCAGUGGCGAAGGCGACUUACUGGACUGUAACUGACGCUGAGGCGCGAAAGUGUGGGGAGCAAACAGGAUUAGAUACCCUGGUAGUCCACACUGUAAACGAUGAAUGCUAGGUGUAGGGGGUAUCGACCCCUUUUGUGCCGGAGUCAACACAAUAAGCAUUCCGCCUGGGGAGUACGGCCGCAAGGUUGAAACUCAAAUGAAUUGGCGGG
rnacentral:rRNA from 1 species